rnacentral:rRNA from 1 species
AUUGAACGCUGGCGGCAGGCCUAACACAUGCAAGUCGAGCGAGCGGCGGACGGGUGAGUAAUGUCUGGGAAACUGCCUGAUGGAGGGGGAUAACUACUGGAAACGGUAGCUAAUACCGCAUACCAUCAGAUGUGCCCAGAUGGGUUAAGCUAGUAGGUGGGGUAACGGCUCCCCUAGGCGACGAUCCCUAGCUGGUCUGAGAGGAUGACCAGCGACACGGGAACUGCGACACGGUCCGGACUGCUACGGGAGGCAGCGUGGGGGAAUAUUGCACAUUGGGCGCAAGCCUGAGGCAGCCAUGCCGCGUGUGUGAAGAAGGCCUUCGGGUUGUAAAGCACUUUCAGCGGGGAGGCGUUACCCGCAGAAGAAGCACCGGCUAACUCCGUGCCAGCAGCCGCGGUAAUUC